rnacentral:SRP_RNA from 1 species
AUAUGGGCUAGGCUGGUGCGUUGGUCCUGUACUGUUACUCUAAACGGACCUUAGAGAGAGCCGAAGCCUGGAGAGAGGCAUUAUUUUAGUUUAGUGGUCUUGGUUUCAACGUUGAGGUUCUGUCCUUCGGGACUGUCUCUUUUGGAAAACUGGUCAGGAUGGGAACAUAGCAGCCAUAACCUUUAGAUAUAGUGCUCAAAGGGUAGCGGAACUGAGGAGAAGUCAAGGUUAGCUGCUGGGCUUUUUUAAUGUCCAUUUCUAGGCGUGCCCACUU